AUCCGGCUGACGAAUCCCAAAUAGAACGAAAUGCGAAUCCUGGAU
rnacentral:hammerhead_ribozyme from 1 species